UGGGGAAUAUUGCACAAUGGGCGAAAGCCUGAUGCAGCAACGCCGCGUGAAGGAUGAAGGCCUUUGGGUCGUAAACUUCUGUCCUUGGGGAAGAAAAAAAUGACGGUACCCCUGGAGGAAGUCCCGGCUAACUACGUGCCAGCAGCCGCGGUAAUACGUAGGGGGCGAGCGUUAUCCGGUAUUAUUGGGCGUAAAGAGUACGUAGGUGGUUUUUUAAGCGCAGGGUUUAAGGCGAUGGCUCAACUGUCGUUCGCCCUGUGAACUGGAAGACUUGAGUACAGGAGAGGAAAGCGGAAUUCCUAGUGUAGCGGUGAAAUGCAUAGAUAUUAGGAGGAACACCAGUGGCCAAGGCGGCUUUCUGGACUGUAACUGACACUGAGGUACGAAAGCGUGGGG
rnacentral:rRNA from 1 species